UUGAUUCGAAUACUAAGUACUACGGAAUUCUAAUUCUAAGCAUAAAUGGCCUAAAAAACUCUCUCCUAGGGUUUGCUCCAAAUAACCCGGAUUGCGACUUGGUUACUGAGAUUCUCCUCUCGUCCGGUGGCGCUCGUCGGCGCUGCCAUGCAGAUUUGGGCUGUUGCCGGGCGGGAACUUGAAUACUAUUGCCUUGGUGGUUCCAUGAGUGUAUGGUUGGGCUCGGGCUUUUAGUCGGAUUGGGUGACGGUGGAGUCCAGGCGGUAAUUCUGACUCGAGGUCAGACUAUACAGGGAUGGCGGUUUUCGUCAAGGGCCUACGGCGGCGUCUUCGUCACUAGAUUUCCAGGACUAGUGGCGGCGGUGGCUUUGGUGGAUUCUGGUUUGAUCGUUUUUGGAGGCACGGCGUUAGUGGUCUGGGCGGAUUGCUAUGGUGGCGUGGCUAUGGAGGGUCGGGUCGGAUUGUGGAGGCGACGUGGCUUGGUGGUUCUUGGCGGUCUUCGUGGGGGUAGGAGCGGCAGCUGGUUUCUUGAUGGUGGUGGUUGGUGGCCGUGCGUGUGGCUCGGGAGUGGGAUGAUGUUGUUUUGGGCUCGGGUCACCCUGGUCCGCUGGCCCUCUUAGGCUUUAAUUUGGGCUAGGGUACUUUUCCCUAAGCCCAGCCCUAUGUUUUUAGCUCAUCUAUUUACAAUAAUUUCCUUGUAUUAGGAAGCUAUGCACUCUAUGUAUUUCUAGCGCCUCUAGAGUAGUACUAAAUGAGGGUCUCCGCUACCUCUACGUAUUUGAUUGUAUAAUGAGUACAUCAUUCUCACUAUCCGUAGUGAUAAAGUUGCCAAAGUCGUGUUGACCCUUCUUAGGUGUGAUUUGAAAAAACUAUCAGAUGAUGAGUGUUGGCUUAUAUUGAAGGAUAAAGCAAUCCCAGCUGGCAGUGCUGCUACAUCUGAAUAGCAGGAGACAAUCGGAAGAGAGAUUAGUGAAAAAUGUGGAGGUCUACCAUUAGUGGCAAGGAUUACAUACAGCUGUCAUGCAACCAUACACAGUCAUUUGGUGCAGGCAAAACCAUUCUCUGAACAAAUAAAAUUCAGAGAAGCUUAUGCAGAUCCCUACACAACAUUUAUCAUCUGAGGCAUUGAUUUGUUCAUUGACACACACAGGAGGGAAGGCUUUUCCCUGCAGAAGGUUACCGAAUUGUGUUUGAGUCAUAAGGACAAGCAAUUCUGUAAUUUCAUGAAGUACAAGGUAUGCUUUUCAAAUUAUUAGACUAUCCUGUAUUCUCUUUAUAGCUUUAUAAGACUGAUUUUGAUGGAGAUAUUAACAUAUGCGAUAGAGAAAAAUAAAACGUUGCUGGUUGUCAGUGUUGAAGGAUA